rnacentral:rRNA from 1 species
UAUUGGACAAUGGGCGCAAGCCUGAUCCAGCCAUGCCGCGUGAGUGAUGAAGGCCUUAGGGUUGUAAAGCUCUUUCACCGAUGAAGAUAAUGACGGUAGUCGGAGAAGAAGCCCCGGCUAACUUCGUGCCAGCAGCCGCGGUAAUACGAAGGGGGCUAGCGUUGUUCGGAUUUACUGGGCGUAAAGCGCACGUAGGCGGAUUGGUCAGUUAGGGGUGAAAUCCCGAAGCUCAACUUCGGAACUGCCUUUAAUACUGCCAGUCUCGAGUCCGGAAGAGGUAAGUGGAACUCCUAGUGUAGAGGUGGAAUUCGUAGAUAUUAGGAAGAACACCAGUGGCGAAGGCGGCUUACUGGUCCGGAACUGACGCUGAGGUGCGAAAGCGUGGGGAGCAAACAGG